rnacentral:rRNA from 1 species
GACGAACGCUGGCGGCACGCUUAACACAUGCAAGUCGAACGAGAGAAGAGAAGCUUGCUUUUCUGAUCUAGUGGCGGACGGGUGAGUAACACGUGUGCAAUCUGCCUUUCAGAGGGGGAUACCGAUUGGAAACGAUCGUUAAUCCGCCAUACCAUAAUUGACCCGAUUGUUUGAAUAACAAAGUGUUAUCGCUGAAAGAUGAAGUCGCGGCUGAUUAGCUAGUUGGUUAGGGAAAGGCUUACCAAGGCGACGAUCAGUAGCCGGACUGAGAGGUUGAGUGGCCACAUUGGGACUGAGACACGGCCCAGACUCCUACGGGAGGCAGCAGUGGGGAAUAUUGCACAAAGGAGGAAACUCUGAUGCAGCGAUGCCGCGUGAGGGAAGAAGGUUUGAGGAGUGUAAACCUCUGUCUUCAGGGACGAAAAAAGACGGUACCUGAGGAGGAAGCUCCGGCUAACUACGUG